GAUGAACGCUGGCGGCGUGCCUAAUACAUGCAAGUCGAGCGAACGGACGAGAAGCUUGCUUCUCUGAUGUUAGCGGCGGACGGGUGAGUAACACGUGGAUAACCUACCUAUAAGACUGGGAUAACUUCGGGAAACCGGAGCUAAUACCGGCUAAUAUUUUGAACCGCAUGGUUCAAAAGUGAAAGACGGUCUUGCUGUCACUUAUAGAUGGAUCCGCGCUGCAUUAGCUAGUUGGUAAGGUAACGGCUUACCAAGGCAACGAUGCAUAGCCGACCUGAGAGGCUGAUCGGCCAGACUGGAACUGAGACACGGUCCAGACUCGUACGGGAGGCAGCAGUAGGGAAUCUUACGCAAUGAGCGAAAGCCUGACGGAGCAACGCCGCGUGAGUGAUGAAGGUCUUCGGAUCGUAAAACUCUGUUAUUAGGGAAGAACAUAUGUGUAAGUAACUGUGCACAUCUUGACGGUACCUAAUCAGAAAGCCACGGCUAACU
rnacentral:rRNA from 1 species